UACGAAGGGUGCGAGCGUUACUCGGAAUUACUGGGCGUAAAGCGUGCGCAGGCGGUUCGUUAAGUCUGCUGUGAAAGCCCUGGGCUCAACCUGGGAAUGGCAGUGGAUACUGGCGAGCUAGAGUACGGUAGAGGAAGGUGGAAUUCCCGGUGUAGCGGUGAAAUGCGUAGAGAUCGGGAGGAACACCAGUGGCGAAGGCGACCUUCUGGACCAGUACUGACGCUCAUGCACGAAAGCGUGGGAGCAAACAGG
rnacentral:rRNA from 1 species